GACGAACGCUGGCGGCGUGCUUAACACAUGCAAGUAGAACGGAAAGGCCUGCUUUCCCUUGUGGAUUGCGGGUACUCGAGCGGCGAACGGGUGAGUAACACGUGAGUGAUCUGCCCCCAACUUGGGUAUAAGCAUGGGAAACUGGGUCUAAUACCCGAUAGGACUGCAGGGUGGUGACUGAGGUGGAAAACGAUCAUCUCGAGGUUGGGGAUGAGCUCGCGGCCUAUCAGCUUGUUGGUGGGGUAAUGGCCUACCAAGGCGGCGACGGGUAGCCGGGCUGGGAGGGUGGACGGGCACAUUGGGACUGCGCUACGGCCCAGAGGCCUACGCGAUGCAGCAGUGGGGAAUAUUGCACGAUGGGCGGAAGCCUGAUGCAGCGACGCCGCGUGAGGGAUGACGGCCUUCGGGUUGUGAACUCCUUUCGACCGCGAGGAAGCCACCUGGUUGGAAGGGUGGUGACGGUAGUGGUAGAAGAAGCACCGGCUAACUACGUG
rnacentral:rRNA from 1 species